rnacentral:rRNA from 1 species
AACGAACGCUGGCGGGAUGCCUAACACAUGCAAGUCGAACGAGACCUUCGGGUCUAGUGGCGCACGGGUGCGUAACGCGUGGGAACCUGCCCUUAGGUUCGGAAUAACUCCCCGAAAGGGGUGCUAAUACCGGAUAAUGUUUUCGGACCAAAGAUUUAUCGCCUUUGGAUGGUCCCGCGUUGGAUUAGCUAGUUGUUAGGGUAAAAGCCUACCAAGGCGACGAUCCAUAGCUGGUCUGAGAGGAUGAUCAGCCACACUGGGACUGAGACACGGCCCAGAAUCCUACGGGAGGCAGCAGUGGGGAAUAUUGGAACAUGGGCGAAAGCAUGAUCCAGCAAUGCCGCGUGAGUGAUGAAGGCCUUAGGGUUGUAAAGCUCUUUUACCCGGGAUGAUAAUGACAGUACCGGGAGAAUAAGCUCCGGCUAACUCCGUG